GUGGUAUGAGGAAAUGGAACAGAGAGUCUGACGCCAGACCUGCUGGUGCAGACAAGGCAAAACUUAAGUUCUUGAAAGAUUGUGCGCUGAAAAAGUGGCUGACAACCCAAAGGACUGAAAUCCAUAGGGUGAUUCUGCACCUCCUCAAACCGUCCAGGAAUAGAAAGAUAAACUGAAGAUAAUAAAUGGACUAAUGUGUUGCUAUUUUUUGAGACAAUUAUUUCAUAUGGAGACAUUAAAAAGGAUUAUUUUUAAAA